UAAUAGAUUAGCACCGUCAGAUUUAAUCACAAUCAGAUAGGGGAUUACGCCUUAGAUUGUUGGAACAAAGAUCGCAUAGAAAUCUGAUUGUUUUUUGUGAUAACAAUAAAUAAAUCAAACUUACAGAUGACGCAAAUAUUCCAAUAAAGAUAUGAUCUUAUCCGGAAGCGUGCGAGGCACUGCCCUAAGGCGUAUUCCCGUCCUUACGUGAGGGAUUAAUCGGAAAUAACACCCCAAGGUACGACCGGAAUUCCUCAUUCUGCGAGCACGAUCGUAAAGGAGGUUGACGGAGAUUCUCAACACCCAGUAGAUAAGAAGAAUAUUCAAAUAGUAAAAGAUAAGAGAUGAAUAGAUAAAGAUUAACAAAAUUAUCUAAAUCUCAUUUUUCAAUGAGGAGGAAUAAAAGGAGAUCAAAGUAUCAAAGAAAAAGAAAGAGAAUUCACGCUCUUUUUCUUACGAGAAAGAAGCGGAACCGCACAACGGAAUGAGUUCCUUUUGGCGCAAGAAACGGAACGAAAAUAUUCCGUUAGUUCCUUUCUCACUAAGAAAUUAAAUAAAUAAAUAAAUAAGAUAAUAAAUAUCAAUGAAUAUUAAAUGAUAAUUCAAAAUUCAAAUAGAAUAAAAUUCAAACUUUAAAUUUUUGAGUU
rnacentral:lncRNA from 1 species